rnacentral:tRNA from 2 species
CCGGAGUUGGCCGAGUGGUCAAUGGCAACAGACUGUAAAUCUGUCGGGCUUUGCCCUACCCAAGUUCAAAUCUUGGACUCCGGACCA